UGCCCAUGUUUUUUUUACCAUAUGUAACUGGAUGCAAUUAUGUGCAAGUUAUAUGUGGUCACUGGAUUGCAUGUAACUCUGUACAUGCUUGUGAACCAAGUACAAGUAAGGUUCACGUAGCUUCUUGAACCUUAGGGAACAGCCGCAUAACACCAUUAACUUGAAAACCACUUACCUUAUCCCAAAACUGCUCCUACCACAAUAUAAGGGGUAAGGAAUGGUUUUUGGUUUGUGAGGUCAUGCGGAUUUUUCACCAAGGUUCAAGUGGUUAUCUGGAUCUUUUGACUUAAGUGCAUAUGAACCAUGUGGCAGGUUAGCAAUUACCAGUUUAAUUAUAUCUAACUUCACAUAAGCAUCUAGUAAUACUUGUAUAGAUCCUGAAUCCUGUAAAUUAUGAAUGAAGUUCCACCCCAUACUACUGCUUAUAGCUGCCAUAUAUAUACCUAGCGUUUUAUUGCCCAUGUUUUUCUUACCAUAUGUAACUGGAUGCAAUUAUGUGCAAGUUAUAUGUGGUCACUGGAUUGCAUGUAACUCUGUACAUGCUUGUGAACCAAGUACAAGUAAGGUUCACGUAGCUUCUUGAACCUUAGGGAACAGCCGCAUAACACCAUUAACUUGAAAACCACUUACCUUAUCCCAAAACUGCUCCUACCACAAUAUAAGGUUUAAGGAAUGGUUUUUAGUUUGUGAGGUCAUGCGGAUUUUUCACCAAAGGUUCAAGUGGUUAUCUGGAUCUUUUGACUUAAGUGCAUAUGAACCAUGUGCAUGCUUUCACAUACUUUUCCAGUAUUGCGAUUUAUUCAAGGCCAAAUAAAAACCUCCACAGAAAUAUAAAGUUCUAGGAAGGUACACAUAACCUCUAGAAAGUUGCAUAGAACCAUUUAAUUUUGAACCCCAUUUUUUAUCCCAAAGUUGCUCUGCAGAACAGUUUAAGGGGUACACUAUAUGGUUUGAGGUUGUGGUUAUUCAUCAAAAUUGGAGUGUAUCCAAAUAUUUUUGGAAGAACUUUGAAUUAUAUAUGUACAUAUGGGCUGCAAGAAUGUGUGAGACAAAUGUGGUCACUGUAUUGCAUAUGGACCUUGUGCAUGCUUUCAGUUCCUUGUGCAAUAGUUUGUGACUUAUUCAAGCUAUAAUAAAGACACAGGAAUAUGUACGAGUAAGGGAUAGAUUGUUUGGUUUGAAAUUUAUAAAUUUAAGUGGAUACUACUCCAUCAAAGCUCACUGUUCGUCUAACAUGUUCUUCAUAAGAACUUCAAAAUAAAAUACAUCCUCUAGUACCAUCAAAUUAAUAAAUUGGUCAACAGUCUUUUUAAGUGAACCAUUGCUGAUAAAUUCAUUCAAAUUC
rnacentral:lncRNA from 1 species